UCUUUUCAGUUGAAGAACUGGUCGGUUCCAUCAUUUCGAUAGAAGCUGAAGAACUAAAGGUUCAAGGUGAAGAGAGGUGAAGAUAACUGAAGAACUUGUUCUCUUUUCCGAUACAAGCUGAAGAGUCGAAGAACUGAGCAGAAGAGUUGAACGAUUCCUUGAAGAAACACGAUUUCAAAGAGAUUUUGUUGGAUUAAGGUUUAUCAGUGUGCAGCCAAAGACAACAAUGAAGAACCAUCAAAGCCUGAAAUGUUUAUAGCAACUCGUACCAAGACAAGAAAGGAAAUCCAGGCCGAUACCCAAGUUGCAAUAACUGAACUUCAAAAUCGCCAAAAUUCAGGGGAAACAGCUGAUGAUGCAUUUAUGGCAGUGUUUGGAAAGGAGCAUGCUGGUCGACUUAGAUACUGUGGUAGAUUAGUGACAACAAGUUCUUUUAUGAAAGAUAAGGAAAUUUACAAUUUAAUACAAAAAUAUGCCAAUGAAAUCACUUCUCUAAGGGAAGAAUUCAGAGAAGAUAUGCGACAUUUAUUCACUCAAUUGUUGAAAACAACCUUGGAUUGAAUUUUCAAGACAUACCAGGGUGUGUUGGAUCUAACCUAGCUUCACCUAUCGAUGUAAGUAGUGCACAAGCUGUAAGAUGCACAAAUCUUCCACAUUAUUCCGGAUCAGCUCAUGAUUUGGUUUUUCAAAAGGAAAAUCCAGUUUUGAAUUAGAAUAAUGGCAUAAGUAAACUUGAUCUAUUGUAGUGGACAAUGAAGAGUUUUUGUACUGUUGCCAUACACAUUUGUAUGCAUUUGGUAUUUUGAAAUUUAUUCAUAUUAGAGAUCUUUAAGCAAUUACUUUCUAUGUAUUGGAGUUUUUUGACAUGUUUCUUGAAGUUUAUUUGAAAUAUAUAGCUUCAAUUUAAUUA